rnacentral:misc_RNA from 1 species
GAAAUGCGAUAAAUAAUGUGAAUUGCAGAAUUCAGUGAAUCAUCGAGUCUUUGAACGCACAUUGCGCCCCCUGGUAUUCCGGGGGGCAUGCCUGUCCGAGCGUCAUUGCUGCCCUCAAGCACGGCUUGUGUGUUGGGCUUCCGUCCCUGGCAACGGGGACGGGCCCAAAAGGCAGUGGCGGCACCAUGUCUGGUCCUCGAGCGUAUGGGGCUUUGUCACCCGCUCCCGUAGGUCCAGCUGGCAGCUAGCCUCGCAACCAAUCUUUUUAACCAGGUUGACCUCGGAUCAGGUAGGGAUACCCGCUGAACUUAAGC